AACCACCCAGUUUUGAAGUUGAACAACCACCAUCUGUUCGAUGAAGAAGAUGGAAAGAAGGUGGUUGACGUCACUAAACUCCUUCCUCCUGAGAGACACAUGUUCAUUGAGAAGCUCAUUAAACACAUUGCUUUCUGUUAUGCAACUGAUCUGGAUACAUUGUGGUUCAAUAAUAAUUGUGCGACGAAGAUGUAAUGGAUCUGGAUUUGUAGAAGUGAUAGUUACAAAUGGAACAUUUUUUCUGCAGUUACAUGUAUUUUUUAUCAGUAAUACAUUACAUUUUUUUUA